GACGAACGCUGGCGGCGUGCCUAAUACAUGCAAGUAGAACGCUGAAGGAGGAGCUUGCUUCUCUGGAUGAGUUGCGAACGGGUGAGUAACGCGUAGGUAACCUGCCUGGUAGCGGGGGAUAACUAUUGGAAACGAUAGCUAAUACCGCAUAAGAUUGACUAUUGCAUGAUAGUCAGUUAAAAGGUGCAAUUGCAUCACUACCAGAUGGACCUGCGUUGUAUUAGCUAGUUGGUGGGGUAACGGCUCACCAAGGCGACGAUACAUAGCCGACCUGAGAGGGUGGUCGGCCACACUGGGACUGAGACACGGCCCAGACUCCUACGGGAGGCAGCAGUAGGGAAUCUUCGGCAAUGGACGGAAGUCUGACCGAGCAACGCCGCGUGAGUGAAGAAGGUUUUCGGAUCGUAAAGCUCUGUUGUAAGAGAAGAACGAGUGUGGGAGUGGAAAGUUCACACUGUGACGGUAUCUUACCAGAAAGGGACGGCUAACUACGUG
rnacentral:rRNA from 1 species